AUUAUUAUUAUUAUUAUUAUUAUUAUUAUUAUUAUUAAUCAGAGCUGGGCAGCCUUCAUUUUUAUGCCCCAUGAUUCUUUGAGUCAACACCAAACUAGCUUGCGACAGCAUUGUUCCAACUGUCUUUUGUGGGCAUAUCUGGGUAAAGCUGCAUCCAGCCCAGCAGGCGCUGUUGGCAGGAAAAGGAAGAACUUUGCUGUGGGCAUGCCACUGGGAGGCGGCAGUAGCAACUCUUCCCAAUCUGAGCAGGACCCCCUGCUCCCCCCCCCCCACACACACACUUUGCAUUACUUACUUGGAGGAGUAAGUAUUUCCAGGCUUGGAGGAGCGCAGGUGGCUGAGAGGCCUCAGAUAUUUCACACAUGUCCUCUACGACCCUUGGAUGCCUGUGUUUUAUGUAGAAGCAUAAGAAGCCUCCCUACAACUUCCAUCCUUUCCAACCCAGACAAGACUCUCUUGUGCUGCCCUGGAAUGUGGCAGGGCAGGGAGCGUGCCCAUCUAGGUCAGGAGGAGCCCCAGUUGCUGUGGGGCCCUCUCAGGCCCCCGUUCUUCUCCUGUAGAAAUGAGAAGCACACUGGAACCUCCAGGCCUUCCUUGCCAAACCAUAAUCGACCAGUUUAAUAACAAUUAACCUUGGACACCCACUUAAUCAAUUCUUAACGGACCAAUUAGGAAUCAUGCUUCCCUUGUGUCACGCAUUUGAUGUUUCUGUUGUGACCUCUGCUAGUGCCAUUGGAAACUCCAAUUGCAGGGUUUUUCAGUGUAUGCACGGGGCUGUUUCUGUUUAAUUGUGAAUUGCUUUGGUGAAUAAUAUUAUCCCAAUGGUAGAUGAGAAAUUGGAGAGGAGUGGUGAAACCACGUGAAUGCCAACAGCUUGCACAACACUCUGUGUGUUUAAUUCCAUUUCUUUAAAUGGCAAAACACUGACUGUCUGGAUUGGGGAUCCAGUGGUUAGGUGGUAGUGCUUUUCACUGCCAAAACAAAUUGUGCAGGUAAAGUACACCAGAGAAGGUGAUUCAUCCCAUCAUGGUCAGUUCGGAUGAUACAUUUCAACCCCAGAAUAAGGCUUUUUUUCUAAACCCUGAACGUGCCCCCCUUCCUUUUUACCCACAAUUUUCCAUUGGAAAAAUGCCCUCCUGCCCCCACUUCCCCUCCCCGUUUCCCUUUGGUUCCCUUUUGUGUACUUAGCACAUUCCUGUGCUGAAGGGUGAGGGGAAUAAUUCUGACACUUAUCUGGUUUGUGAAAGAGUGGCAGUGUUUAUAGCCUUUGCUUCCCUGUGAAACUGUCACUUCCUCAAUUCUUUCAGAUUCAGCUGGCCCAUGGAGAAUUAUUCUUAGAUUGUGUUCCCAGGACCUCUGCAUAACCAAUUAUGCCUGGUCUCUCAGGGAAGGCUAGUAGUAUCGCUAUAGCAGGCCAUUUGUCCCAUUCAAAGCCUUGCCUUGGCGGCCACUGAGUCAUUAACAAAAUGAAGCUGGUUAAAUAAUCUGCUCUGAGGACUUAAAACAAAACAAAAAAACCUUCUGAUAUAUAUUCCACCCUAUGCUAAGGCAUUAGACUCUGAGCAGUCUCUGUGUAUGUUUCUUUAUCCUUUUUUUUGCUUUUCUUUUUAAAUCACAAAGCAUCAGGGCCAAGUACCAUGCCUGAGGCUGAAUUCAGAGGUUCCUCUUCAGGUGAAACAUCAAAAAAGAAAAUGGAAAUUCAAGACUUUGAGAAAUGUGCAGGCAUGGUAUUCCCUUCUGCCAAAGUUCAGAAGGAUCAGCUGCAGUGGAUGUUCUGCAAGGGCAGGCUUUGCAAUUUGAUCACUCUCGACAAGAAGGAGAUGAACCAAGUGCCAUGAUAAUGUUCGCCUUGCUGUAAAUGUUCACCUUCCUCACCUUAUUUCCCCAGGUAGGGUUUCUUUCUUACGCUUGUGAACAAAAACCACACCUCAGAAUAACAGACUCUGCCUGAUAACUGAAUUACAGCUGAAUUUUGAGACAAAUUUGGAGGUGAAGUACAUGCAGACAUUUCUAAAGUAGUUCAACAUUUUUUGACAGGGCUGAGCUGAAGCCACUCACACAUUUUUAUGAACAAUUUCAAAUGUCAAAACCAGUUCAGUACCUAUUCAACUUCAUCCCUUCAUAAUACUGUCCCUCCAAAUGUCUGCAAAAGUAGGGAAAUUGCUAUGUAGGAGCAAAGACCCUGCUGCAGAAAUGUCCCGUCCCCAUUACGAGAGCAGCUCUCCUCUUAAUAACAGUUGCUGGGAAUCACAAGUGAAGAGAGAGUUGCUGUGCUCAGCUCCUACUUAUGGGAAGCCCAUAGACAUCUGGUUGGCCAUUGUGGGAAAGGAUUCUGGACAAUAAAGGCCUUUUGUUCUGAUCAAUCUUCCUAUGUUCUUAAAUCCAGGAUACAGUCAUCUUGCUGAUAAACACUGGACCUCUUGCCAGCAUCUCUCUUGCUCAGCUUUCACUAAUAGGAUAAAUCAGGGCUUUUUUGUCCCCAGCCGGAACUCUCCGGAACUCAGUUCCAUCACCUCUCAGGUG